GUGAACGCCCUCACGGGCUUAUACUAUUCCAAACCUCUGUGAACCGUGCCCUUCGGGGCUAUUUUACAAACAUGGUGUAAUGAACGUCAUAUAUCAUGACAAAACA
rnacentral:misc_RNA from 1 species